UCAUGCUUCUCUGGACAGUGCCCUC
rnacentral:piRNA from 2 species